CAUUAUUUCCGGACGGCGCCGAUACUCUAAGACUUCAAAACUUUGUUGGGAAAAAUAGAAACUUGCAAGAAAAACCCAUGCAGAAGCUGAAAACGGUUUUCUCAAUGGCAAGCCGUGGAGACCCGGUCUUUGGUGCUCCUUUUCUUGAACAAACCAGUGAAAUGGGCCUAUUGGUUAUGCGUGCUUAGCAAAGACCAUCACUUGCGGUGGAGAUAUUUGAGGGCUGCCGUGCUCGGGAACUGCCGUGUCACACUUCACAAAAGGUUGUCCAAGGUAUGGGCAGAUGUUGUGAGCAAGAAUCUGCAAACAGAACCUCUAGGGUGCUGUCAACGGUGUGUUUAUGCAAAUCUGACGUGGAGUCUAUUUAAUCUCAGCUACUACGGGGUGUGACAGAAGCCCCGGAAUUUCAGGCACUCCUCCCUGGGCACGACUAACGUGCAUUCUUUGUCCCAUUCCCACCUGGACUCUUCACGUCUACUGGCUCGGCUGCCCGCAUCCCAGACUGGGGUGGAGGGCUCUUCCCCAUGCAGAGCUCAGCUUUCUGAGGCAUGCCAUGCAGUGAUCCCUUGGGGGCCUCGCCCUGCACCCAGGGACCACCAUGGUGCCCAAGCUGGCAGCCCCGGAUGCCGUCACGAGUAGCAGCUGUCAUUGUUAAAGAAGCAGCAACAAGAGGAUUGUUGAUCUCAAAAGCAGUACGAACCAACACUUAAUAACAGAAGCAUGUUUUUAAGUUCCCUUCGUAUAUUAUCUCACGUAAUUACCACAGUGACUCCAUCAGGUAGGUCCUUUUAGAGCAAUUCCCCUUAUCCACGGGGGAUGUACAAUCAGAGACUCCCAGUGGACGUCUGAAAGUGUGGAUAGUACUGAACCCUCUCUAUACUAUGGUUUUGCCUUUACAUACAUACCUAUGAAAAAGUUGAGUUACUUUUUAAAUUUUUUAAUGUUUAUUUAUUUAUUUUGAGGGGUGGGGCAGAGAGAGAGGGAGAGAGAAUCCCAAGCAGGCUCCACGCUGUCAGCACAGAGCCCACCGCAGGGAUCGAUCUCAUGACUGCGAGAUCAUGAACUGAGCCGAAAUCAAGCAUCGGACACUUAACCAACUGAGCCACCCAGGCACCCUGAAAAAAUUUAGUUUUUAAAAUAGGCACAGUAAGAGAUUAACUACAAUAACUUAUGAUCAAAUAGAACAACUAUGCCAAUGUACUAUAAAAAAAGUGAUGUGAAUGUGGUCUCUCUCUCUCUCUCUCUCUCAAGAUAUCUUACUAUGCUGCACUCACCCUUCCUCUUGUGAUGAUGUGAGAUGAUAAAUGCCUGUGUGAUGAGAUGAAGCGAGGUGAAUGACGCGGGCCCUGUGACGUAGCAUUUUAGGCUACUAUUGAUCUCCUGACAUAUGUCAGAAAGAAGACCACCCAUUCCAGAGCGUGGUUGACCGCAGGUAACUGAAACCAUGGAAAGUGAAACCAAAAUCGUGGCUAAGGGAGGACUCCUGUGUAUCCUGAUUUCACGAAUGAGGAAAUAAGUCUUAGAGAAGCUAAUUAUCUUGAAGGUAAUAUGGCCAGAAAGGAGCAAAACUAUGAGUUGGAUCACAUUACUCUAUUACCUCCCAAUCUCAUUUGAAGACUAUGCAUCAUAUUUUAAAUAUGUGUUAGCUUUUUGAAAAGAAGUGUUGAACAUCCUCAGGUCCUGCAGAUUUCUGACUUGGUCCUAUGGAUUUUCUUGAUAGUCUUUGUCCUAUUAAUAAAAACUCUUCAUCAAUGUUGCCA
rnacentral:lncRNA from 1 species